rnacentral:rRNA from 1 species
GGGGGGGGGGGGGGGGGGGGGGGGGGGGGGGGGGGCGGGGGGGGAGGGGAGGAGGCUUGGGUCGGUGCUGACGGGUGGCGGACGGGGGAGGAAGGGCUGGGAACCUGCGGGAUGGAGGGGGAUGACUACUGGAAACGGUAGCUAGUACCGAUGAACGUCGCACGACCGAAGAGGGGGCCCUGCGGGCCUCGUGCCAUCGGAUGUGCCCAGAUGGGCUUAGCUUGUUGGUGGGGUAACGGCUCACCGAGGCGUCGAUCCCUAGCUGGUCUGAGAGGAUAGCCAGCCACACUGGAACUGAGACACGGUCCAGACUCCUACGGGAGGCAGCAGUGGGGAAUAUUGCACAAUGGGCGCAAGCCUGAUGCAGCCAUGCCGCGUGUAUGAAGAAGGCCUUCGGGUUGUAAAGUACUUUCAGCGGGGAGGAAGGGAGUAAAGUUAAUACCUUUGCUCAUUGACGUUACCCGCAGAAGAAGCACCGGCUAACUCCGUG